GUAAGGAACCUGCGGAGGGAUCAUCA
rnacentral:rRNA from 1 species